rnacentral:rRNA from 1 species
UACGAAGGGUGCAAACGUUGCUCGGAAUCAUUGGGCGUAAAGCGCACGUAGGCGGCCUCGCAAGUUGGAUGUGAAAUCCCUCGGCUCAACCGAGGACGUGCAUCCAAAACUGCGGGGCUUGAGUACUGAAGAGGAUCGCGGAAUUCCCGGUGUAGAGGUGAAAUUCGUAGAUAUCGGGAGGAACACCAGUGGCGAAGGCGGCGAUCUGGGCAGAUACUGACGCUGAGGUGCGAAAGCGUGGGGAGCGAACAGG